ensembl:lncRNA
AGGCGUUGUGCCAGGGUGAUGACCAGUAUGGCCCUGAGGCUCAACCUCUGUCUCCUGCAAACAAGGAACACAAGCCCAUCAGGUGAUGAAGCCAUGUGCUGGGAACACGCAAGACACAGCAGGAGGGUUUCUUAUAAACACCACAAUGUGUUCACGACUAAAUCUAUUUUAAACACUCAGAAUUUUCUGCUGGAAGCGGUGCGAACAGGAACCAGGAAGUGAGCCAUGUGCCCAGCAUCUCACCUGAUCCCUGCAGAUAUAUAGAGGCUCCUGGCCCGGAGGCCCCACACUGAGCACCUUCUCUCUCCACCUGCUCCUCUAACCUACUCCACCCUCAAUCCACCAGAACCAUGGGCUGCUGUGGCUGUUCCGGAGGCUGCGGCUCCAGCUGUGGGGCUGUGGCUCCAGCUGUGGAGGCUGCGGUUCCAGCUGUGGGGCCUGCGGCUCCAGCUGUGGGGCUGUGGCUCCAGCUGUGGGGCUGCGGCUCCAGCUGCUGUGUGCCCGUCUGCUGCUGCAAGCCGUAUGCUGCUGUGUGCCAGCCUGCUCCUGCUCCAGCUGUGGCAAGGGGGGCUGUGGCUCGUGUGGAGGCUCCAAGGGGGGCUGUGGCUCCUGUGGCUGCUCCCAGUCGAGCUGCUGUGUCCCCGUUUGCUGUUCCCAGUCCAGCUGCUGCAAACCCUGCUGCUCCCAGUCCAGCUGCUGCAAAUCCUGCUGCUCCCAGUCCAGCUGCUGCAAACCCUGCUGCUCCCAGUCCAGCUGCUGUGUGCCCGCCUGUUGCUGCAAGCCCGUGCUGCUGUGUGCCAGCCUGCUCCUGCUCCAGCUGUGGCAAAGGGGCUGCGGCUCCUGUGGGGCUCCAAGGGGCUGUGGCUCCUGUGUCUGUUCCCAGUCCAGCUGCUGUGGCCCUGUUUGCUGCUCCCAGUCCAGCUGCUGCAAACCCAGCUGCUCCCAGUCCAGCUGCUGUGUCCCCAUUUGCUGCCAGUGCAAGAUUUGAAGCUGUGACCUUGAACCCCUACAAGGGACUCCAAUCUGAGCUGCCAUGGCUGUGACCAGUGAGACACCGGUAUCCUCAGAAUGCAGAGCCUUGUGCAUCUUCAUCAGGAAAGGCACUCCCGAGACUCUGGAUCCUGAGGGCACUGCAGGCCACCUCGUGCUCCCGCCCCAUCUUGGAGCCCCUCCCCAACUUGUCAUUCUCACCUCUGCUCUUGUAUCUGCCACUUAUCUGGGUCUGAGCCAGAAACACCCCCACUUUCCUCACUGGCUCCAAGGACCAACUAGUGCUGUUGCUGCCAGAGACCUGCCCACCUCCCCAUCACCUCUCUUCACCUGAGUUGUGUGGGUUCAGGACUCCCAGGAGGCGCUAAUGCUCCCCAUCCUGGGAUUGCCCAGGACCCCAGCCCAUCUCCCUCCUCCCUGGACCUUGCUCUCCAGCACCUGCUCUCUGCUGCAGACCCCAAAGAACCCCUAAAUAAACACAUUCUCCAACACCAGCUGGGGCUCACUGUGGCUCUUUUUACUCGCUCUGUAGAUGAAACACCGUAGAAACACCAGUGGCGUGAAAACUGGUGAAGCUUCGUGACAUUUACAAAUGUUGAAGCAAAUUUCCUUUGAGAGAUGUGUUUUCUCAGAAUGUGUCCUAAGGGACAAUUCCUGGUUAUUCCCAGAAUCACACGAUAAGGCUACGAGUCAGAUUAUCAUUCACAGAAGCGAGAACUCGGGUGGUGUCUGUAAGUACAGCGAGUGUGACCCAGUGGUUAAGUUUCCCAUCCCCAGGCGGGCACCAGGCCGAGGGCACAGACACCUGUGCACCCUGGCCACCUGAAACGAUGGCUAUGGGGUCAGGAGGGACGUGGCCUUCUCUCAGCUCUGCGCCUCGGGCCUUAGCAACGCUUCUCUUUCAUUGCUUGGCUGGUGCUCUGUUCUGCUCUGACGCAGUUGGGACCAGCCUCUUAUGAGAUAAGAUAAGCCUCUGAGCUUAUCUCAUGAGCCUUUUAAACUACACAUUUAUUUUGUUGUUGCUCAGCCACUAAGUCAUGUCCGAGUCUUUGUGACCCCAUGAACUGCAGCACGGCAGGGUUCCCUGUCCUUCACUAUCUCCCAGAGCUUGCUCAAACUCACAUCCAUUGAGUCAGAGAUGCCAUCCAACCAUCUCAUCCUCUGUCGCCCCUUCUGCUCCUGCCCUCAAUCUUUGCCAGCAUCAGGUUUUUUCCAAAGAGUCAGCUCCUCAUAUCAGGUGGCCAAAGUAUUGGAGCUUCAACUUCAGCAUCAGUCCUUCCAAUGAAUAUUCAAGGUUGAUUUCCUUUAGGAUUGACUGGUUUGAUCUCCUUGCAGUCCAAGGGACUCUUAGGAGUCUCCUCCAAUACCACAGUUUGAAAGAAUCAAUUCUUCAGUGCUCAGCCUUCUUUAUGGUCCAGCUCUCACAUCCAUACAUGACUGCUGGAAAACCAUAGCCUUGACUAUAUGGACCUUUGUUGGCAAAGUAAUGUCUCUGCUUUUUAAUAUGCUGUCUAGGGUUUUCAUAGCUUUUCUUCCAAGGAGCAAGUGUCUUUUAAUUUCACAUCUUGUUGAUUCAAAGAUAUGGUUUAAAAUAACACAUAAAUGAUGAAAGAAAUGACCCAGAUCUUCUAAAUAAUUCCUAAAGGGAGGCAUUCUAGACAUCGGAACUCAUGGCCUCUCAGAAGAGAAACACCUCUGGUUCUCAGAGGCUGCCAGCCCUCACUGGCUCCAUGUGCACGUCCACAGCACCUGCUGGGCACCAGGCCCUGUUCUGACUCAGGAAAUGGCAGCAAACAGCGUAAAGAGCCUGCUGUCGAGAUCUUGGCUGUCCAGUCGCAGAAGCAGACAGAAAGAGCGUGAUCAGCCUGCGGGCUAUGCUGGGCGCUGAGAUGGCGCCGUGGAAAUGGGAGGGAAGGCUGGCAGGGCGAGCACCACGCCGCAGAGCCCAGACACCACACGGAGGACCUGCGGGCACCUGGGGACACAGACCUGGCUGGCAGCCCUCCUCGCCUCAGACUAGAGCAGUGGUGCCUCCCACGGCCGGCAGGAGACAGGAAGGUUCUGGUUUA